GGGUAACUCAUUUUUCAUCUAAACGGUUAACAAUUAAUUUUAAUUUUCUUUUAAGUUUUUCUUGUUACUGAUUGAAUUUAACUUUAUUUUUACUUAAUUAUUGAUCGAGUGUACUGUUUGAAUUUUAUUGUGAACCUUUAUUGUUGAUAGAAUUUAGAAAAUCAAUGAGAAAAUUAAUGGUCAAGAUUCAUCGUUUGGGUUGUGUUGAUCUGCUUUUUUUGGUAGAAUAAAUUUUCUCAUGUCUUAGUUAUCGUUAUUGGUCAUUUUCAGUGUUAAUUAACAUAAUUUACAAGCUUCUGGCAAAACUGGUCAAGUUAAUUUUUCUCUCUCAGGCCUGAGAGAGAAUAAAAAAACUGUUUUGAUCUUUUUUCAAGUGAUGAGACAAACGGUAAUCACAUGAGGAGAGAUACAUCAUAGUUAAUUCACAAGUUCUUAAAGAUUCAAGGCACACCCAACGUCCAGUUCUUCAGACAAUAAUUGAUUUCAUUGGAGAACCAAACUAAUCAUCAUUAUUUCUCUUGAAAUUGGUCAAUUCAUGGUUAAACAAGCUGCUAAAUUUACACAGCCUUCUAUUAUUCAUUCACUCAUCAAAUAAUUUCCUCUUGACUCUUGACCAUAUCAUCUUGGCUUCAAAACGAGAGAGAGAGAGAGAGAGAGAGAGAGAGAGAGAGAGAGUAAACAAUCAACAACCAUGUACACAUACAUUGGAUAAUUAAAACAAUAUUGUCAUGAUGAUGAAAGAAAACAAAAGCCUCUACAAAAAAAGGAAGGAUAUGGAAUCCACCCCACCCUCAAUAACCAUCAUUCGAAGCCGUAAAAUUUAUCUCUAUCAUCAGCAUCUUCAUCUAAUAUUGAAGAAGACACAAAGUUACCAUUAUCAUGGGGACAAAUAAACACACACAAUAACAGAGUAACUGGUAAACAAAUGGAAAUGGAAAUGGAAAUGAUUGAGAAAAACAACGAGAAAUAAGGGAGAAUAAGGUGAGGUCGAAUACGAGUGUAAACACCGGGUUGUUUAGGGCAUCCACAGCAAGGUAAACCAUACGAAGCAACACCAACAACAACCCAUUUAUUUUGGGUAUUUAUCAUAAUUGGUCCACCACUAUCACCCUACAGUAGAUUGGAUAACUUGUAAUACUAUAUUUUGUUUACUAUCAAUUGGAUAAUUUUGUAUCGGUUCCACCUUCUUCAUAACCUGCACACAUGAGGGAGUCUGGAAAAUUACUGAUCUUCAACCAAUCUGAACAAGUUGGAUUUGAAAGUAACGGAAUUUGAGCCUCUUUAAGUACAUAUGGAUUACCAGUUGAUUGAG